UUAGCUGUGUUGAUUUGAGUUCUCUGUGUGUUUAGUUUGAGUUCCUGUGUCUUCCAAGUCUCCGUGUUGUCCUGUCUUCCCCUUGAUUGUUCCCAGGUGUGUCUCAUUCCCCGAUUACCUUCUGUGUAUUUAGUGUCUCCUGUGUCUCUGUGUCGCUGUCGGGUCCUCGUCUCACUUGGCGUCCUGUUCCCUGUCGUCCGUGUGCCCAGUCUCUCGUCUCAUCCUUUAUGUACCGGUUGCUACCGGCGUCGAGCCCAGGCUUCCGCUCAGCCGUGCUGCCCGGCUUUUGGAUUUGGUGGACUGGGUCAUUUUUGGACAUUCUUCACUAAAAACAUUUAUUUCUUCACAUCCUGGGUCUCCCGCCUGCUGCCUUCACCACCUCACACCGUUUUAUGACACCUUUAAUCUCCAUGGUAACACUUCAGCGGUGAAAACCAACCUAG